rnacentral:rRNA from 1 species
UACGGAGGGGGCGAGCGUUGUUCGGAAUCCUUGGGCGUAAAGGGCGCGUAGGCGGCCGUCCAAGUCGGGUGUGAAAUCCCUCGGCUCAACCGAGGAACUGCACUCGAUACUGGUCGGCUAGAGUCCGGGAGGGGAUGGUGGAAUUCCCAGUGUAGCGGUGAAAUGCGUAGAUAUUGGGAAGAACACCGGUGGCGAAGGCGGCCAUCUGGACCGGAACUGACGCUGAGGCGCGAAAGCCAGGGGAGCGAAUGGG